rnacentral:rRNA from 1 species
GUCCACACUGUAAACGAUGAUUACUCGCUGCUAGGGGGCAACCUUUAGUGGCUUAGCGAAAGCGAUAAGUAAUCCACCUGGGGAGUACGCCGGCAACGGUGAAACUCAAAGGAAUUGACGGGGGCCCGCACAAGCGGAGGAGCAUGUGGUUUAAUUCGAUGAUACGCGAGGAACCUUACCAGGGCUUGAAAGUUAGGGAAUGAUUCUGAAAGGAGUCAGUCAGCAAUGACCCGAAACUAGGUGCUGCAUGGCUGUCGU